rnacentral:rRNA from 1 species
GUGCACCAGGCGCGAAUCUUCCACAAUGGGGGAAACCCUGAUGGAGCGACGCCGCGUGCGGGAUGAAGGCCCUAUGGGUUGUAAACCGCUGUUCAGUGGAAAGAACAUCCUCCGGCUGAAUAGGUCGGAGGCCUGACGUUACCACUGCAGAAAGUCCCGGCCAACUCCGUGCCAGCAGCCGCGGUAAUACGGGGGGGACGAGCGUUGUCCGGAAUCAUUGGGCGUAAAGGGCGCGUAGGCGGCGAGGAAGUCGAAUGUGAAAUCUUGCGGCUCAACUGCAAAACUGCGUUCGAAACUUCCUCGCUUGAGUAUGAGAGAGGUGUGCGGAAUUCCUGGUGUAGCGGUGGAAUGCGUAGAUAUCAGGAGG